rnacentral:tRNA from 1 species
GCCUUGAUAGCUCAACAGGUUAGAGUAUAGAAUUGAAGCUUCUAGGGAAUUGGUUCGAGUCCAUUUCGAGGCA